UUCCCAGCCCCGUCCCCUUGCCUCUCUUCUUGCCAGCCGCCAGCCUCCACCUCCCUCAGCACCACCAUGCCCAACCACCACGUUCAGAUCCGUGCACCCUUCCCCAGCACCACCCGAGCACAACUACCGCGUUGUCUCCCACAUGGCGUCCUGCUUCCCGCCCCCUCGUCCUCAACACUUGCACCGUGAUGGACACCAGCGUCGCCGCCCUCGCAGCCACGUACACGGUGGAGCUCUCCGAGAAGCUUGCUACCGAGCGGCAUCUUCAUAGUCGCGCGCUCCGGCGGAUCCCUCACCAGGCCCUCAGGAAACUGGCGGAUUGGUUGUAUCUGAAAUUUGUGAGUUCCAUGCAGCUCGUAAUCUCCAUCGUCAAAGAGCACACCGAUCAGCUACAGGCUCGCAUUUACCCACAUGUAUUUCAGCUGGCAGCGGAAUUAUGACACUAGCAAGAUGUGUGAAUUCAGCAAGGAAGACUUUGCUGCUGGCUGAAGCUUCAACGCAGCUCUCGGAAACCAUGGCAAGGCGAAGGCAUUGAAUGUGGAUUAGCCAAUGCCACCAAUUGUCACUUGAAAAACUAAAUUCGAGCAUUGCAGGAUGGUCUUCAAUCCAAAAGAACUGGCUACUCGGAAGAAGUGGAAGAUAAAUCAAUCCGUUGUUCCUCAUUUGUUGUUACAUGCGAACACAUGAAAUUUGUGUUCCUUUUUUUUGUUUCCAUGAAGCAACAAUAGUUCCGGCUUUGUUUAAGUUAAUAUUGAAAAAGUAUUGUAUUGGCAUUUGUUGGGCCUGGGAUUUGUUGAGGAGUUGAAGGAUCAAGUAUUUUCUGUUAUGUCUAUUUCGUAAAUACUAUAACUAUUUAUUUGUAAUAUAUUGAAUUUUCGCUUGAA